CAGCCGCCACGGGAAUACGAAGGGUGCAAGCGUUACUCGGAAUUACUGGGCGUAAAGCGUGCGUAGGUGGUGGUUUAAGUCCGUUGUGAAAGCCCUGGGCUCAACCUGGGAAUUGCAGUGGAUACUGGGUCACUAGAGUGUGGUAGAGGAUAGUGGAAUUUCCGGUGUAGCAGUGAAAUGCGUAGAGAUCGGAAGGAACAUCUGUGGCGAAGGCGACUAUCUGGGCCAACACUGACACUGAGGCACGAAAGCGUGGGGAGCAAACAGGAUUAGAUACCCCUGUAGUCCCUGUCUCUAUACA
rnacentral:rRNA from 1 species